rnacentral:lncRNA from 1 species
GUUUCAUCAGGAAAAAAAGCAUAAGAACAACAAUUAAUGAACAACACAUGGUCCUGAUAGCUUGAAUCUGUACAGGCAACACAUGACGUGAAUUAGUUUUAAUCCACAACCUCAUAUCUAUCGUAACCAUAAUAAAAGGUGAAACACACAAUAACAGACUUGCGCAGUAUAGCUAUCGAGAGGCUGACUGACCUCUUACUUGAACAAAUAAAUUAAGGACGGCACACUCAACUGACACAUUGCACAAAACAAAUGUUUAUUGUACUCAACAUGCUCAAAGAUACAGCAAAUACAUGCAUGAUUUGCAUAAUCAGUUAACAGAAUAAAGACAGAAGAAAGAAAAAACUCAUACCGCAUGUAUAUCAUUCAUGAAUUCAUCUAACUGAAUCGUUUAACUUAGCUCCAGUUGUGAAGAAUUCAAAAGGACCAUUGUCACCAACUAGUAUACAUAACUAUGCAUUUUAAACAAUUUUAUAAUUCAUCAAUGAUACAUGCAUGACUAGUCCGACUAUUUUUAACGUAUAAUGCAAUCACGAAAUAGCGACAUAAACAAGCAAAUAAA